AUGUCGGAUCCAGCAGAGGACGCUGCGGCCCUCGCCCGUGCAUGGAUCGUGGUGGAUCGUCUCACUGUCCCUGUGCCGGAGGGUGGGCUGGCCAAGCUUGCGGGGGCUGACCUGCUGGUGGCGUUUCAGGAGGCGCCGGCGCCUUCGAAGGUCUUCUUGCCCGACCGCGUCUCCGACCGCCCCCUCUACGUAGCCGCGGCCGACGCAAAGGGUUUCUUCGUCCUCUGUGAAGUUCAAGGGCCGGCCUUGCAGGGCCCCGAGGUCUUCUACGGAUGCGACGCCGGGAAGGGCGUGGUGACCCGCAUCCCGGAGCGCCCCGUCCUCGACCAUCUCGACAUCGCCGGAAACGAGUGCGUCGUCGGUCCAAGGGCGACUAAGAUCGGCGUCAUGGCGAAAAACUCCAUCUACCUCGUCGCCGAGCUUUCCCAUGCGAGCGCCGACGCGACGCGACUCGCGCUCUUCUGCUACUCCCCGUCCAUCGGCCAGUGGGUCGAAAAGGAACUUGCUUUGCCUUCCUUUGCUCUUCGACCAUGGCAUGGCAAUUUCACCAUCUCACAUCUAAACAAGAUGUGGUGGGUCGAUCUCUCCUUUGGCGUCUUAUGCUGUGAUCCUUUCGCUGAGAGCCCUGUUCUGACAUACUUCCCGCUUCCGCCCGGCUGCGAGCUUCCGCUAGAAUUGCAUCAGCAACAAUUAUCAAGAACUUGGUGUCUCGGCAUCAGUGGAAAGACCCUGCGGUUUGUGAACCUAGAGGGUACGGGCGCUUCAGUGAUCAUCAAAGCAUGGUCAUUUGUGUCUGAUGACGAGCCAGCUGGAUGGAUGCCAGAGUUUGAGCUGCCAGAAGUUGAAAUCUGGGCAGGCCAAUCAAACAGACCAUAUGGUGUUCUGUCAAGCCCCUUUGUCAGUCCAGUAGCCCCAGACUUCAUCUGCUUGCUUAAAGGAUCUGUUCUUUUCUGGGUGGACUUAAAAUCGGGACAAAAUUCUCUCUUUUAUCGGCUGCCCACCCUGGAAGUGGAUGGUGCUACGGGCGUUGAGCCGCGGUUCAUGCCAUUGCAAAUGGUGUGGCGCCCAUGGGCAAUUGUGGCGUCCACGGGUGUGUGCAAUGAUCAACUGAAAGACGAGAUGCGAUUGGAGCGAUCUGCACCACCGGUCCAGAGCAGUCUGGUUUAUGGCAAUACAUGCGUGAGAAACAGGACAACGAAGUACAUGUAUCUGGCAGCGAUCGAGAGAUCAGGAGCUAUGUUGAUCUGUGCUGGCAUUCAGCGCAUAGGGGAUAUUGCAAUCAAGAAGGUCUAUUUUGUGAGACAUGAUAUAACUGAGAAGUCACAUAAAAGGCUACCUGAUCUUGGCCAUGGUGCUCUGGUGCAUGGCAAUGUUGGUCUUGUCGUGGACAAAGAAGGGGUGUGUAUGGUUGCUGAGCUUGUGCGCACCAAAAACAAGAACAGUGGGCUCAUCCGGUUAUGGAGAUCAGAUGAUAAAAGGGACAAGUGGACUGAUAAGGAGGUGAACUUCCCACUGCAGGGCAGCCGGCGAUGGAAUGGAAAUGGGGCCAUCUCAUGGGGAGGGAAAAUCUGGUGGAUUGACCUGUCCCAAGGGCUGAUGUCCUAUGACCCAUUUGGUGCGAAGUCGAAGCUUUGUUACAUAGCUUUCCCUGGUGGGCAUGAAAUUGCUGAGAAUGAUAUCAACCCUUUAAUUGUAGAGAGUAGGCUGGUCAAUAUUAGCUGUGGCAAGUUACAGUAUGCUGAGCUCCAUGGACCAGAUGAAGAGCCAGUGAUCACAGUAUGGACGAUGGUUGCUCAAAGCAAGGGAAUGAGCUGGAGACGCAAGUAUGAUCUGAAGCUAACUGAGGUAUGGUCCAAAAAGAGCUUUCAUGGCAAAGGACUUCGGCGGGAGAGGCCGGCGCUCGCUCUUCUGCACCCCUUCAACAAUGAAGUGAUCUACCUCACUCAGGAAGCCAAGCUGAUCUCUGUCAACGUCAGUUCGGCAGAAGUAAAAGAAUGUGUCCCUUGUGUGCUUGAAGAUAAGGCUACCGAUUGCAGGUCUGGAAAAUUUAUCGUCUACGACAUGCCUCUGAAGUACAUUGGCCUGUUCCCAAGACCCUAUGUUCUUCAGUCUUGA
rnacentral:rRNA from 1 species